ensembl:snoRNA
UGGCAUUGAUGAGAUUAGAUUGGGUCUGAACUGGUAUUGUUCCCUACGGGGUAAACUCUGACCAGGCUAUGUGGACAGCAAUCUUCUCGCUGAGCUG